rnacentral:rRNA from 1 species
GACGAACGCUGGCGGCGUGCCUAAUACAUGCAAGUUGAGCGCUGAAGGUUGGUACUUGUACCGACUGGAUGAGCAGCGAACGGGUGAGUAACGCGUGGGGAAUCUGCCUUUGAGCGGGGGACAACAUUUGGAAACGAAUGCUAAUACCGCAUAAAAACUUUAAACACAAGUUUUAAGUUUGAAAGAUGCAAUUGCAUCACUCAAAGAUGAUCCCGCGUUGUAUUAGCUAGUUGGUGAGGUAAAGGCUCACCAAGGCGAUGAUACAUAGCCGACCUGAGAGGGUGAUCGGCCACAUUGGGACUGAGACACGGCCCAAACUCCUACGGGAGGCAGCAGUAGGGAAUCUUCGGCAAUAGACGAAAGUCUGACCGAGCAACGCCGCGUGAGUGAAGAAGGUUUUCGGAUCGUAAAGCUCUGUUGGUAGAGAAGAACGUUGGUGAGAGUGGAAAGCUCAUCAAGUGACGGUAACUACCCAGAAAGGGACGGCUAACUACGUG